rnacentral:rRNA from 1 species
CCAAUAGCGUAUAUUAAAGUUGUUGCAGUUAAAAAGCUCGUAGUUGAAUUUCGGGAUCAGAUUGUCGGUCGUGCCUCGGUACGUACUGGCAUUAUUGGUUCCUACCUUCUGAAGAACCGCGAUGUCAUUAAUUUGGUGUCGUGGGGAAUCAGGACUGUUACUUUGAAAAAAUUAGAGUGUUUAAAGCAGGCGCACGCUUGAAUACAUUAGCAUGGAAUAAUGAAAUAGGACGUUUGAUUCUAUUUUGUUGGUUUCUAGGAUCGACGUAAUGAUUAAUAGGGAUAGUUGGGGGCAUUAGUAUUCAAUUGUCAGAGGUGAAAUUCUUGGAUUUAUUGAAGACUAACUACUGCGAAAGCAUUUGCCAAGGAUGUUUUCAUUAAUCAAGAACGAAAGUUAGGGGAUCGAAGACGAUCAGAUACCGUCGUAGUCUUAACCAUAAACUAUGCCGACUAGGGAUCGGAUGAUGUUAAUUUUUUAAUGACUCAUUCGGCGCCUUACG